AUCUGAGCCCUGCUUUCCACACGGUCAAGCCUUUCAGAGGCAGCCAGCCUAUGGCUUGUAUCAAACUCUAUAUUUAGGAAGAACAACUGUGAGCUAUGACAGGAAUUCUCUUUAACACUUUAGCCUUAAAGCGAGUUCCCUUCUAGCCCGAGCCAGGAGCAGCUCUCAGGACUGGAGAGAGACAGAGCACUCCAGCUAUUUCAGCCACAUGAAAAGCACUGGAAUUGAGAUCCCCGCUCAGAGGACACCGGGAGUUCCUUCUAUCCUGUAAAGCGCUUUUUGUGUUUUUGCACCUGGCCGCCUGGGACUGUCCUCAGGCAGUAAACCAAUCCAGAGAGCAGGGCUAAGACCUUGUGAAUAUGUCGAAGCAGCCAAUUUCCAACGUCAGAGCCAUCCAGAAUAACAGGAAGGAUAAAAUUCGGCUCAUCCUUACAGAAGGCGAAUAUCAAUAUUCCAAUGGGAGCCUUUCGUCCGGGAGCUGGGCAGCCUCCCAGAAGGAAAGAGAGUACUCCUGAAACUGAGGAGGGAGCUCCUACCACCUCAGAGGAAAAGAAGCCAAUUCCUGGAAUGAAGAAAUUUCCAGGACCUGUUGUCAACUUGUCUGAGAUCCAAAAUGUUAAAAGUGAACUGAAAUUUGUCCCCAAAGGUGAACAGUAGUCGAAAGGACACAAAAGUUCACAUUGGAUGCUUAGAAUCAGGAGAUGCAUUUCGUUGACGUGUUUUUCCAAGGGAGAAAAAACAAUGGGUUGAAAUAAACAACUUCCUGAACAUUUUAUACAUUUGUAUGAUGAUCACAAACCUCCUGAAUGCCCAAGACUCUAGCAAAAAUAUCCUGUUUGUACAUUUAUAUUUCUUCCUUUUACUUGGUUGCAUUUCUCACUUUAGCUACAUUUUUGGCACCUUGUAGAGCAAAUCAGCACACGAAUUUACAACCUGGGAAGUGUGGUUUUGAGGAGAGAUGUGAUUUUUAUGAAGGGGGGGAUGGCAACGUGCAAGCAGUGAUUUUGAUGUUAAGUACUUUAAGUUACUUCCCACGGUCUUUUGGUCAAUAUUUGAAAUGGUUUCUUCACCUUUUAAAUUAUCUCAAUUAACUUUUUAUGAGUUCAAAUAAAUAUUUGAGUAAAUGUAA